rnacentral:rRNA from 1 species
CAGAGACUGCAAGCGUUAUUCGGAUUCACUGGGCGUAAAGGGUGCGCAGGCGGCCGAGUGUGUGAGGCGUGAAAGCCCGGGGCUUAACCCCGGAAUUGCACCUCAAACUACACGGCUAGAGCAUUGGAGAGGGUAGCAGAAUUCAUGGUGUAGCAGUGAAAUGCGUAGAUAUCAUGAGGAAUACCAGAGGCGAAGGCGGCUACCUGGACAAUUGCUGACGCUCAGGCACGAAAGCGUGGGGAGCAAAAGGGAUUAGAUACCCCUGUAGUCCACGCCCUAAACGGUGCACACUAGGUCUUGGCGGAUUCGACCCCCCCAGGGCCCCAGCUAACGCGUUAAGUGUGCCGCCUGAGGACUACGGCCGCAAGGCUA